rnacentral:rRNA from 1 species
CAGCCGCCGCGGUAAUACGGAGGGAGCUAGCGUUGUUCGGAAUUACUGGGCGUAAAGCGCGCGUAGGCGGUUACUCAAGUCAGAGGUGAAAGCCCGGGGCUCAACCCCGGAACUGCCUUUGAAACUAGGUGGCUAGAAUCUUGGAGAGGUCAGUGGAAUUCCGAGUGUAGAGGUGAAAUUCGUAGAUAUUCGGAAGAACACCAGUGGCGAAGGCGACUGACUGGACAAGUAUUGACGCUGAGGUGCGAAAGCGUGGGGAGCAAACAGGAUUAGAUACCCCAGUAGUCCCUGUCUCUUAUAC